GGAGCGCUCCUGCCCCUCACAGCCUGCCGGCCUCAGGCCACUGGGCCAGCUGUCAACUCCCGGCCUCCCACAGCGGACAGUGGGGGAAAGAGCGGGAGGGACUGCAGGAGUUACCUUGCCCUGCAGUUCCUGGACAGCGGGUCAGGAUGGAACAGAGCGAAGCCCAUCCGCCCUCCAGCAACGAAGCCGGCAGGGCGCGGUCGCCCUCUGCCCUCCGCCCUGGAAGCCCGCUGGUCCUCGUCUACCGUGCGCUGCCCCUGGCUGCCCUGCGAGUUGCUGGGAGACAAGGAGCCCCUCAUCCUCACCUGCAGGAGCCCUGUGCCACCCACUUCUGAGCCUCCCGGAGGCCCCACCACGUGUUCCUGGUCUGAGCAGCAGAGCCAGCAGCCACCCCACCCCCACCCCAACGGCCACCUCUCACUCGACUGGAAACUGCAGGAGACCUCGGCCUCUGCUGGUACAGAGGAGGCAGCUGUUUAGCUAAAAGCACUUGCCCCAGACCCCGUGGGUGGUGACUUAGACCCAGACUGUCAGGCUGAGGGCACCAAAAGGAUAGUUACAUUUUUGCUCUUCCUCGGGGACGAUGCGGUAAACUUUGUAUGGCUCAGAAAUGUCCAGCUGGGACCGAUCGGUCACUUCCUCAAAAUCUGGGCUCUUGUUCAAAGCACAGCGGAGUCUUGUCUUCCACGUGGCAGGUUCGGCCUUGUCCCCUUCCUUAAACUUCCCUUUAAAAACUGCCCAGGCCUGAGGGAAGAAAAGGAAGCACAUGAUAUAUACAGCUGUCACGAUGGACAGUAUCUGCAGACCUUUCUCGCCCUCCUGAAAGUCACCUUUCUCUGGCCACUGGGUGGAGAGGGGGAGAGGAGGAGGCUGAGGAGGAGGAGGAGGCUGCUGCGCUCCGUGCCAGACAGGGCAAGCAAGAAACACAACACAAAGAGGAAGUUACACUUGCUUUUUCAAAUCAACCUCUGGCUAAGGGAACAUUUGCAAAAAGUCUGAAUGUGUAAUGGUGACAAAUAAAAGAUUUUAUUUGUAGGGGAAAAAA